GACGAACGCUGGCGGCGUGCUUAACACAUGCAAGUCGAACGAAGUGGCGAACGGGUGAGUAACGCGUAAUCACCCUGCCCUUCACGGGGGGACAACAGUUGGAAACGACUUCUAAUACCGCAUACUGAAGGAGGGGCUUGCGUUGGAUUAGCUAGUUGGCGGGGUAACGGCCCCCCAAGGCGAUGAUCAGUAGCCGGGCUUGGAUGAGUAACGGCCACAUGGGGACUGAGACACGGCCCAGACUCCUACGGGAGGCAGCAGUGGGGAAUCUUCCGCAAUGGACGAAAGUCUGACGGAGCAACGCCGCGUGAGUGAUGACGGCCUUCGGGUUGUAAAGCUCUGUUAAUCGGGACGCGGUACCGGAAUAGAAAGCCACGGCUAACUACGUGCCAGCAGCCGCGGUAAUUC
rnacentral:rRNA from 1 species